CGGUUGAUCCUGCCGGACCCUACUGCUAUCGGGAUGGGACUAAGACAUGCUAGUCGUGCGUCUCCUAGCCAUGGUGGAGACGCGGCACACAGCUCAGUAACACGUGGCUAACCUGCCCUUGGGACGGAAACAUCCCCGGGAAACUGGGGCCAAUUUCCGAUAGGUGAAGAACCCUGGAAUGAGUCUUCGCCCAAAAGGCGCCUAGAGCAUGCUUCUAGGUGUUGCCCAAGGAUGGGGCCGCGGCCGAUCAGGUUGUUGGUGAGGUAAUGGCUCACCAAGCCUUUAACCGGUACGGGCCGUGGGAGCGGUAGCCCGGAGAUGGGCACUGAGACAAGGGCCCAGGCCCUACGGGGCGCAGCAGUUGCGAAAACUCCGCAAUGCACGAAAGUGUGACGGGGCUACCCCGAGUGCCGUCCGCUGAGGAUGGCUUUUCUCUGCUGUAAGGAGGCGGAGGAAUAAGGAGAGGGCAAGUCUGGUGUCAGCCGCCGCGGUAAUACCAGCUCUCCGAGUGGUAGGGAUGAUUAUUGGGCUUAAAGCGUCCGUAGCCGGCCCUUCAAGUCUCUUGUUAAAUCCAGCGAUUCAAUCGUUGGACUGCGGGAGAUACUGUUAGGCUAGGGGGCGGGAGAAGCCGACGGUAUUUCCGGGGUAGGGGUAAAAUCCUAUAAUCCCGGGAAGACCACCAGUGGCGUAGGCGGUCGGCUAGCACGCGCUCGACGGUGAGGGACGAAAGCUGGGGGAGCGAACCGGAUUAGAUACCCGGGUAGUCCCAGCUGUAAACGAUGCGGGCUAGGUGUUGGAGCGGCUACGAGCCGCUUCAGUGCCGCAGGGAAGCCAUUAAGCCAGCCGCCUGGGGNAGUACGGCCGCAAGGCUGAAACUUAAAGGAAUUGGCGGGGGAGCACCACAAGGGGUGAAGCUUGCGGUUUAAUUGGAGUCAACGCCGGAAAUCUCACCGGGGGCGACAGCAGUGUGAAGGCCAGAUUGAAGGUCUUGCCAGACGAGCUGAGAGGAGGUGCAUGGCCGUCGCCAGUUCGUGCCGUGAGGUGUCCUGUUAAGUCAGGCAACGAUCGAGACCCGCAUCCCCCGUUGCCGCCAGCCUUGAGCUGAGCACACUGGGGAGACCGCCGUCGAUAAGACGGAGGAAGGAGCGGGCCACGGCAGGUCAGUAUGCCCCGAAUCUCCCGGGCCACACGCGAGCUGCAAUGGCAGGUACAAUGGGUUCCGACCUCGAAAGGGGAAGGAAAUCUCUAAAGCCUGCCGUAGUUGGGAUCGAGGGUUGAAACCCACCCUCGUGAACAUGGAAUCCCUAGUAAUCGCGUGUCACUAGCGCGCGGUGAAUACGUCCCUGCUCCUUGCACACACCGCCCGUCGUUCCACCCGAGCGACUUCUGGGUGAGGCGUGGUCUUUGUUGGCUGCGUCGAAUCUAGCUUUCGUGAGGGGGGAAAAGUCGUAACAAGGUAGCC
rnacentral:rRNA from 1 species